rnacentral:rRNA from 1 species
CGGACGGGUGAGUAAUGUCUGGGAAACUGCCUGAUGGAGGGGGGUAACUACUGGAAACGGUAGCUAAUACCGCAUAACGUCGCAAGACCAAAGAGGGGGACCUUCGGGCCUCUUGCCAUCGGAUGUGCCCAGGUGGGAUUAGCUAGUAGGUGGGGUAACGGCUCACCUAGGCGACGAUCCCUAGCUGGUCUGAGAGGAUGACCAGCCACACUGGAACUGAGACACGGUCCAG